rnacentral:misc_RNA from 1 species
AUUUGUAGAUUGCGCGUUGGCAGUGCCAUAGUUGGGCUGUACUACUGCUCUCUUUUCGUCUGCGAGCAAGACGAUGAGCGUAGACGAUCGACGUAUUGGGGACGAGAUGGACUCCAAGCCGUUAGGCGGACCUUCAGGGGCUUGCGAAGACUUCAGCUCCUGCUCGGUGAGCGAAGUGCUGUGGCACAGCCAUUGGAAGGCGCGAAAGAAUGGCUACGAGAGAGUGCAGAAGGAUCCCAUUAAGUACAAGAAGCUUCUUUUCGACAGCCUCAAGUACAUUGCUAACGAAGGCAAUGCGACGGUCCAGGAGGCUGCAAUCGAGGCGCUUGUUAUUGUUCUCUCCGAGUGCAAUGACUCGGAGCGCAGUCAGCUCGCUGAAGGAACACUUCCCAUCGUUGUGGAGAAAGGUAUCACUGGACGGCCGAAAGCUGUGCAGUUGAGCCAGCAGUUCAUUUUUGCGCUUGUAGAGGCGGGUAGCGGAGCGGCUGUGUUUGCUGCCCUCCUCCCUGCAUUAGCGCAUAAGGCACCAAAGAAUAGGCUAGCUGCAGCGCAAACAGCGGCGUCACUGGUCUCAGACUACGGGGUGCAACACUUUCCCCUCAAAGAAAUUCUGAAGGCUAUGCAGCCGCUGUUCAACGAUGCGAACGCUCAAGUCCGGAAAGAGGCAAUCGCGCUGUGCUGCCAGUGCUAUCGGUACAUCGGCGCUAACAUCAGGGGCUUUCUCACGGACCUGAGAGAGGUUCAGCUACAAGAGCUUCAGAAGCAGUUCGAGAGCCUUAAGGUGGGCGAGAGACCCCCAAAGAUGAUCAAGGGCGCUGAACGAUCGAGCAGCGACGGCAAGGGCGGUAAGAACUCUCUUGCAGCGGCCAAGCCGAUAGGAUCUCUCACUGGUGAGGAUACCGCUGCUGUUGACGAUGCCGGCUUUGAGCUUCUAGAGGAGUCUCUGAUUAUACCACGUCUCCCGAAAAAGUUUUUCCGCGUCGCACUAGACAAGGAGACAACGUGGCAGGACCGCGUCGAGUACGUGAACGUGCACCUUGUGCCUCUCCUAGCUGCGCCUCGAUUCCGUGCAAAGGACAACUACCAUGAGCUUGCAAGCAUGAUGAAGGAAUACCUAGUUGACCCACAGGCGCCACUGAUGCUGCUUGGCUUCAAAAUGGUGCAGGAUUGUGCCCGCGGGCUGCGCAACGACUUUUCCCCUCACGCCAGGCUUUUUGUUGCACCAUUGCUAGGCAAAAUGAAGGACAAGAAGGUGAGCGUGCAGCUUCAUGUGAUGAAGACGUUAGAGGACUUGAUCUGCUUCAACUGCAUCUCGAUGGAUCAGUGCAACGACGAUUUUGAGCAGGCGCUGCAGAGCAAGAACCCAACGCAGCGCACGGUCCUGCUGAACUAUCUCAUCCGUAUGGUGGACACCCUCGGCGAUCGCAGCCGCUACGUCAAGCUGGGGCGCUCAAUAGCGAUGCUGACGCGCGCCGUCAACGACGAGAAGGCGUCGAUUCGCGAUGUCGCGUACGUGCUGCUUGACAGACUUAUCCGAGCCUUUGGUGAAGCUCAGUACAAGAGUGUCCUGGAACACUUAGAUGACAACCAGCGCCAUAACAUGGCCGCCGCGGUCGCUCGCGGUGCGCCGACUGUGGGACCGCGCUCUGUCGCCUCGCGGCAGGCCUCGGACCUCUCUAUCUCACAGAGCGGCGGCACCACCGGCACGACCCCAUUCAACUCACCUGCCAAAAAGAUACCUCGUGUUGAGGACUCGUCCGCGGCGACGGCAGCGCUGGCGCGACCGCCCCAAGCGCGCACCAUAUCCGCACCCUGCGCAACGGUUGUCGCACGGCGUCUCUCUGCUUUUUCCAGGGAGGACGGUGCUGACGCCGACGCAGAGCCGCGCGGGACGCUAGCCCUGGAGCCACCUCGAACCUCGUCGCUGCUGCGCAAGUCUGCGCCCUCGCAUGCGUCCGGCACGGAGCGGCCGUCUGUUGCGAGGAGUUGUGUUGCUGCCACGCGCGGCAGCGGUGCUGAGCAGAGCAGCACCAGAACUAACGCGGACGACUCCAUUGCACUGGAGUCGUUGCUCCCGUCGAAGAUGGAGUCUCUGAUGAUGAUAUUGGGGAUGCUGAACGGUGAUAACACGGUGCUUGAUAUGGUGCGCUCGCGCGAGUGGGCGCGGCGGCAGGAGGGCAUGAACAAGCUCUUUGUAAUGGUGCAGCAGUGGACACCGGCGCAGACUACACGUGCCAUGGACUACUUAGUGGUGUAUAUCCGAGCACACCCCUCCUUCCGCGAGCCGACUUUUCAAGUUUUCACCCUAAUCACGCAGGUCUUCCAGGUGGCUCUGGCGAAGGCCGUGACGUUGACCAUGGCAGCUGGCUACGCCAUUGUGUCUGGCUUCACAUCACGUUUUGCAGAGCCCAAGAACAAGCCUUUGGUGCGCGAGGUGUGCGGCCUUAUUGCCCAAAAACUUGGCCAGCGCUUUGUGGUGCGCCACAUAUUGGACACGGCAGCUAUGAUCAAGACACCAAAGCUGCUGCAGGAGGUGUGCGAGUAUGUACGGGAGGCGGUGCAGCAUCAACCAGACAGUGAGGAGGCCGAGCGAGAUGCAGUGGAUGCCCGAGGGGCGCUACAUUUUGUCAAGACGGUGUGCUCCGACUUCAACAACGCCGGCGUGCGACAGGAGGCGGCGUUGCUCCUUGUGGCUCUGCGUCGUUCACCGCAGGCGUCGGCCGCAGCAGUGGAGAGGUGCGUGGCGUCAUUGCAGCCGCCGCUGCCCGCCCUGUACGAGCGAGAGCUGAACCGUUCGGAGGGCGUAUCCACAUUUGCUGGGCCGCUAGCCCCCACAAGAGCCUCAGUGGCACUCCCCGCUGGUGCACCGGCCCCUGGUGCAGCCGCGCCGACGCCGCUGUCUCCUACCCAGAAGCGAGCGCGCACGGUGAGCCAGUCAUCCGGGCCCGGGACGCGCGCUAGUGUCCUGGCACCGUCGUCACCGAACCGCCCAUCAGUGCACCGUCGCUCGCUGAGUGACGCUGAGGCAUCUCCAGACUUUCACCAUCGCACGUCCUCUCCCGGCGGCACAGGGGUGGCAACGCGCCUUACCAGUGGGCAUGCCAGCUCCUUGAGACCAUUGCCACGCAAUAGCUGCUCUGCCAGCGCGGCGCCGCCAGGAGGUCUCCGGUCCAUCCUGCACGAGAUCACCUCCGGCGAGGACUGGCGUGAUCGACUGAAUGGUGUCCGGCGCGCUGAGGCUUUUGUGGCAGAAGCACCACGACCGCUUCCAGGCCACUGCGCCGUGGCGCUGCUCAAGGCUCUACAAGGUCGCUUCGAAGAGGCCAACAAGAACAUCAUCGUGGAUGUGCUGCGCUUCAUUCCCGUAGUGGUCAAUGCCGCCGGGCCAGAGGAGUGUCGUGCCGCGCUGCGGCAGCUGACCCCCGGCGUGCUGGCAAUGCUAGGAGACCAGAAGGCCGCCUUGCGUGAAGAGGCGCGCAACGUGGCGUUCUUCGCCAUGAACGUUGUGGGUCUCGAAUCUCUCCUGCCACUACUACAGCGGCCGUUGUCAUCGGACUCAAACGUGUGUCGGCAGAACGUUCUGGAGAUGAUGGUCAGUGGAUUUGAGCAGCUCCCGGCGGACGCAGCACUGCCGCGCGUCGGAAUGCAGCUGCUCACGCCGGCUGUGAUAGCCUCCAUUAUGGACCGCCUGCUUGACGUCCGUCUGGUCGCGGAGCAGGUGCUGGGCUGGAUGUUAGGCGUUGUCGGUGAAGACAUAGUCAUGCAUAGCGUGCAGCAGCUCAAGCCAGCGGAACAGCAGGCAGUGAUGCCGGCAGUGGAGCGUCAGAUUGAGCACCGGCGGCGCCAAGCACAAGAGGGGCGGCCGGAGGGGCAGCAGGAUCAGCUGCCGUCAACCGCGAAGGCUGGUCAACCCUUCUUGACAGUCGCAAACGGCCUUCUCGACAACGAAGAGAGUCGCCGCACGACACCGCGACGGGCUACGCCGCGGGCAAGCAGCCCCGCCACCCCACGCGUGGCCAACGGCGGCUUCACGACACCGCGCCGCCUGUCGGCUGCGCAUAUCCCAUACGAUACGCGUUCAGCUAUCAACACGCAACAGAACGGUAACCGUGCCAGCACACCGACACUAGAACUUGCGCCGAAAACCCGACCAGCGCACAAGGAGGCUGUGGGCGUCACGGCGGCGCCGUCGGCACCCUCGACCGCUGCGUCUGAAAGCGGAGAAGCGACGCCAGCGCCGGCAUCCUCCAAUGGGCCGGCCGCAAGAGCCUCGGCGCACCCGAGUCGUCCGUCUGCCGCGUCGAAGGCGGCCGUGCCCGCAAAGACGUCGCCGCCGUCAAACGCGUCGCGCACCCCGACCACGUCCACCGACAUCUCGCCCCUCGCCGACGGCAACGAGGAACUGUACACAAUACGUGAGAUCCUUGUCGGGCUGCGGUCGGCCACCUCCGACGUUGCACUGGCGAUGUGCAAAGACUUUUGCCGCCACCUGCGCGCCGGCGUCGACUGCGGCACUCCUGAGGUGGUCCAGGUGAUGGUGGAGCGCUUGUACGAGAACACGCAGAACUUUGACAGUGGCUUGGCUCAAGCGUUGACCGAGUGUCUGGCCGCAAUGUUCAUGACCCCGCGCUGCGCGAUGCGCUGUCAUAGUCAACUGCUGUUUCGCAUGAUGGGUGCCUUCUUUGACUGCCUGCUGUCGGAGAAGUUCUCGCUGCACGAGCCGGUCAUCAAAGCCUUGAACGUUGCGACACUGAAACUGCUGGAGGGCUGCCCGGCUAACGACGUGUUCACCGCGCUGCUGUCCCGACUGACCACCUACUCCACCAUCUACCUUUCCACUGCUCAGAAGGCCGAUCUGAAGUUCCUUCAGGUGACAGUGAAAUGCGUGAUGAGAGUAGACUUGACCAAGGUGAGCGCUGACACCAUCAUUCUAUGCUGCCACGAGUACUUGCUGCAGCACCCCCCAAGUGCGUUUCGAAACUUGGACGACUUGCCGAUUCGGACGGUGAAGACAGUCUUACAGACAACGACGAAACGGCUCGGGGCAUCGCUCCUGACCACAGCCGAGACGCUUGUAGGGCCGCAGAAUCUCGUCACGCACUUUAUUCGCGCCUGCCUCGAGUUGCGCAACAAGACCGCCAAGGAAAGGGGGCAGAAUGAGCAGCAGGCGAUCGAGGAGAGCCGACACGAGCAGCGGGCGAGCCAGUCGCCGACCCCUCUUCCCGCAAAAGAAAAGACCUGCUCCCCGCUAACGCCACCGAACAAUACCAUGGCUUCCACUAGUGUUACUAGUACUGCCGCCACCGCCGCCAGAACUGCUACUCCUGGCACAACCGCGACCGCUGCCACUGCCUCGGUCACCCCUAGCAAGGGCACUGUCACGCCUUCGCGGAGAAAGAAGCGCGUGAGUCACCACGCUGAUCCCAACGCAACUCCGGCAUCCUCCCUCAACGCGACGACGGUGGCCUCCCCUGGCGCCUCGUGUGAAGGUUCAUUUUCGCCGUCCGCGCCGGCGUGUUCGGUGCGCGCCCCCUUGAAAGCUCAUUCAAGGCUACAGGCUGGCGCUGCCGCCGGUCAGAGUGCGCCAGAGAGCUCUACAGCAAACUCGUCCAUAGUAGUCACUCCGUCGAAGGUGACACCGCAGGGUGUGCUAAACGGGCCCGCAUCUUCCAGUCAAGCGAAUGCGCCGACAGCGUCUCCGAGAGACAUCAAGAGGGACCUGACGGAGAUCUUUGCCCACAUCCGCAACCACGUCACUUCGAGCAGCGGAAUCGAUGAGCUCUACUCAUUCCUGAAGGAUUUACCACCGAGCAGUUAUGAGGAAGCGUUUCGCGUGCAUUUCAAUCGCUGUUCGGAAGCGUUCCGGCUGUACAUCAAGCGAAAGCUCGAGCGCAAGGUUGAGGAGGACCCCACCAAGCCUGUGAGCUUCAAACUGCCGGCGGUAAUCCAGCAUCUGUCUUAGCUCCUUUCAUCGUUGUUCUCUUUAGCAUCCUCGCCCUUCCUACUGCUUUUAGAGUGGCACAAGCUUUCGUGCCGGCUGCAGCACUCCGUGGUAGGUGCAGUGCGGCCGUGCACUAUGCUACAUGUUCCUCCUCGGUUCUUGCGCGCAUGCGUGCCUCUGUUCCUUACGUCCCCCUGCGUGCGCCACUCUGGCCUCGCUGUCACCACAUCUUUUUGUCCUCCCACAAAAUCGGUGCACUCUGCAUCCGCUCUUUUCUUUUUCUUUUCCUCUUCACUGGCCCGAUGACGCGGCGCACACCUCGGCGCAUCGUAUCCUCAGGGUCUAGUGCACCCCGACUCUGUGUGGGGAGGAAGCCAGGCGAGCCCCCUUAUCUCUGCCGAUGCCGAGCUACCUCUGGUGGUAACAUGGUCAAGUACUUAUGGCGUAGGGCGUGGUGAGAGUGGUGUAGCGCUGCUGAUAUUGGAGGUCAGGUCCUGGCUGACGUUGCGUCGGAGCGGCCUGCGGCAGCGAGCACGUUUGCACCACCCACAUGAUGGGCAGGGUGUCAGCGUGGCUUGAGCGUACCUCACCCGGCCCUCGCACUGCCCACUGAUGUGGGGAGCCUGCGCCACGGCGAGGGGGAUGCACCAGGGGUGGCGACCGGCAUGAUGUGAGCGGCUGUGAGGCGGCCUGUGGAGCGAGAGACGGCUAGAGCUUGAUGCAGAGGCCGUGUGCAGAUGACUGACUCGGCGCAUAGCUCUAAAGCAUGUGUCUAAGGCUGCUUCGCACGGUGCGACGGGCCUGUGGCAGGGCCGGGAGCCGAGUGGAGUGUGGCUCAUGCUCUGUGGUGGAGAAUGGACAGGCUGAAAAAGAAAAAAGGAUAUAUACGUGGAGGCAAAGAAAGGAAUCUUUAAGUGGCUGCUGUCUGUAUGGGGUCUAGAAUGCAUCGUUCUGCGCACACGCACACGCACACGCACACACAUAUCUAUACAUAUAUAUAUAUAUGUAUACAUCUCUAUAUAUUGUUCUCUCUUCAUUUGUGUUGCAUGUUUGUCUCUCUCUUUGCGUCGCUUAUUGUGUUUGCUCUGCCUCUUCUUCCCACCAUAACGCAACGAAGGAUUCAUCGCGUCGCACCUCUCCUUUGUUGGUCUCGAUUUCUUCUUCCGACGGUAGGCUGCCCUGCGUCGUUUUUUUUUUGUGCGCCGGAUGCCGCGCUGAGCCUACAGCGAAAAGCCCCCUACUUUUUCUCCUCUUCCACUCUGCGCCUUCCGUUCACAUUGAGAGACACACUGGGCGCCCUUUCACAGCCAUGCGUCAGUGUGUUUCACGCCGGCCGAUGCAUACCCCCUCUUCUCCCUUUUUGUUUUCUUUUAUGUUACUCUCUUCGCUUUCUUUUUGUUUGGCGUGGUGAGGUGGGCGAGGAGGAGCGCAGAAGAGGGGUGGGGGAGGGGUUUUGUGUUUGUGGGUCUUAAUCCAGUUAUGCAGAUCAUACACGCAGGAAAAGGGAUGGCGUGCGUUUCCCCGUUUCCCGUCUCCGCUCUUCUGGAUGAUCCCGGUCAUAGAUGCGCUUUUGCUCGUUGUAGUGGUUGUGGCUGUCCGCCGAUUUGUGGGCUUCACCAUGCAGCCAGGUUGCUCGUGUGGGUGCCUUGGCGAUGCCCGCAUUAGAGUACCAGGAGAUGCCACCCUCUCUCUAUCCCUUUUUUUCUCACCUGAAGUCGACGCUUCAAUCAGAAAGGGGGUGUGAGCAUAAGGGUGCGCAUGCGUGUGCAUGUGUCUUUUGUUUUGUUGGAGAAGGGAAGCAAGAGGGCGCAUCCGGCGCGCGUCGGGCACCGUCGAACGUGUUGAAACGGCUGUUUUCUCUUUUUGUGCGUUUUUCAGUCCUCGCCCCACCCCGCCCCCUGUGCAGAGGUUCGCCAGCAUCAGCACACGUACCUGGACGAAGAGAGGAGAGAUCGUGGUGCGCUCUCUCCACUUGGUUCCGUGGUGGAGAGCUUUUCAGUUCUUCGUUUUUGGUUUGGCCUUGUGUGUUCGUUUUUGUACAGCGUCUUGUCGCUACCUCUUUCUCAUCUCCUCGUCUCGUACACACACACACACACAACUACACGCGGGUGAUUUCAAGUAGAGUAGAGAGAUAAAGCGCAUCGUUCCUCCUCCCUUCGCCCUUUCUCUCUCUUCCGUGGGGGUGGGGGUGGGCAUUGGGUGCAACGCUGCGGCUCCGCCAUGUGCACGCGUGACAGAAACGUGUGCGUGUGUGCUUGUGUGGAUGAGCUGCAAUUCAUGCCUGCACUUGCUAUGACAUUUUGCAUAGCG